AUUGAACGCUGGCGGCAGGCCUAACACAUGCAAGUCGAGCGGAUGAAGGGAGCUUGCUCCUGGAUUCAGCGGCGGACGGGUGAGUAAUGCCUAGGAAUCUGCCUGGUAGUGGGGGAUAACGUCCGGAAACGGGCGCUAAUACCGCAUACGUCCUGAGGGAGAAAGUGGGGGAUCUUCGGACCUCACGCUAUCAGAUGAGCCUAGGUCGGAUUAGCUAGUUGGUGGGGUAAAGGCCUACCAAGGCGACGAUCCGUAACUGGUCUGAGAGGAUGAUCAGUCACACUGGAACUGAGACACGGUCCAGACUCCUACGGGAGGCAGCAGUGGGGAAUAUUGGACAAUGGGCGAAAGCCUGAUGCAGCCAUGCCGCGUGUGUGAAGAAGGUCUUCGGAUUGUAAAGCACUGUAAGUUGGGAGGAAGGGCAGUAAGUUAAUACCUUGCUGUUUUGACGUUACCAACAGAAUAAGCACCGGCUAACUUCGUG
rnacentral:rRNA from 1 species